GAUGAACGCUGGCGGCGUGCCUAAUACAUGCAAGUCGAGCGAACGGACGAGAAGCUUGCUUCUCUGAUGUUAGCGGCGGACGGGUGAGUAACACGUGGAUAACCUACCUAUAAGACUGGGAUAACUUCGGGAAACCGGAGCUAAUACCGGAUAAUAUUUUGAACCGCAUGGUUCAAAAGUGAAAGACGGUCUUGCUGUCACUUAUAGAUGGAUCCGCGCUGCAUUAGCUAGUUGGUAAUGUAACGGCUUACCAAGGCAACGAUGCAUAGCCGACCUGAGAGGGUGAUCGGCCACACUGGAACUGAGACACGGUCCAGACUCCUACGGGAGGCAGCAGUAGGGAAUCUUCCGCAAUGGGCGAAAGCCUGACGGAGCAACGCCGCGUGAGUGAUGAAGGUCUUCGGAUCGUAAAACUCUGUUAUUAGGGAAGAACAUAUGUGUAAGUAACUGUGCACAUCUUGCCGGUACCUAAUCAGAAAGCCACGGCUAACUACGUG
rnacentral:rRNA from 1 species